rfam:Schistosoma mansoni, WGS project CABG00000000 data, chromosome 2 unplaced supercontig 0120, strain Puerto Rico
AACUUUCUGAAUCCGUGCCGAGAUUUCAUUAAAUAUCAACCCUCCACUUAUAAUGAGACUUCUGAGAUAAUUGAAGUG